GUUACAGUUCAGAAAGCAGUAUAGAACAAGAACCUUCAGCUUACGAACAACUUCUCUCUACUCUUGGUUCAUCUGCAGCAAAUCAAUAUUCUGAUGAGGAAGACGAUGUAUCUGAUGAAGAUGAAGAUGAGGAGGAGUUUGAUGAAGAAGACAUUGAUGAGGAAGAUGCUGAAUCUGACAUUAUUGAAGAUGAGGAUGAGGAUUCCACACAGAUCUCGCUAGAUAAGAAAAAUGGACGUCAGUUAGAAGAAAAUGUAGAAGUUGAAGAUGAAGAAGAUGAAGAUGAAGAUGGUGAUAAUGAGGAGGAGGAGGAAGUUGCUAGUGAUGAGGAGGAGGAGGAAGUUGCUAGUGAUGAGGAGGAUGGAAAUAAGGAUGAAGAAGAAGUAAAUACUGAAACACAAC